CGUCAUUUUUGUAUUUUACUAAUAAUUUCUAUUAAAUAGUAAAGAAAAAUAUAACAAAUAAAAAUAAUUAUAUUUUAACAUAUUUAAAACAUAAUAAAUACGCGUAAAUAGAAGAUGUCGCACUAAUCAGUUGACGAAAACAGGUGUCAUUUUAUUAUUUUAAAAGAAAUUUGUAAACAUGUCGGGAAAAGUAGACGAAGAAGAAAGUAAUAUUCUUUAUGAAUUGUUGAUAUAUGGAGAAUGGCCACAAGAACCAGAAAUUGUAGCUAAAGGAACACAAGAUAGGCAAGAAGAGAAGAAAAAUAUUGUUUGGAAUUGGUUUGAUUCAAUUGUUCCACCAAGUAAUUUAAAGCCAUUUAUGCAAAGGUUAAUAAAUCAACAAAUGACGUGGCAGUUUGCAGUAGGAGGGUAUGGAAUUUUUAUUUUGACUAACAUAUUUUAUUUAAAUUAUCA
rnacentral:lncRNA from 1 species